rnacentral:tRNA from 1 species
UGGCUCAGCUGGUAAAGUAUCUGCCUGCAAUGCAGGAGACCUGGGUUCGAUCCCUG